UACGAAGGGGACUAGCGUUGUUCGGAAUCACUGGGCGUAAAGCGCACGUAGGCGGAUGUGUCAGUCAGGGGUGAAAUCCCGGGGCUCAACCUCGGAACUGCCUUUGAUACAGCACGUCUCGAGUCCGGAAGAGGUGGGUGGAAUUCCUAGUGUAGAGGUGAAAUUCGUAGAUAUUAGGAAGAACACCGGUGGCGAAGGCGGCCCACUGGUCCGGUACUGACGCUGAGGUGCGAAAGCGUGGGGGGCAAACAGG
rnacentral:rRNA from 1 species